AUUGAACGCUGGCGGCAUGCCUUACACAUGCAAGUCGAACGGUAACAGGUCUUCGGAUGCUGACGAGUGGCGAACGGGUGUGUAAUACAUCGGAACGUGCCUAGUAGAGGGGGAUAACUACUCGAAAGAGUGGCUAAUACCGCAUGAGAUCUACGGAUGAAAGCAGGGGAUCGCAAGACCUUGUGCUACUAGAGCGGCCGAUGGCAGAUUAGGUAGUUGGUGGGAUAAAAGCUUACCAAGCCGACGAUCUGUAGCUGGUCUGAGAGGACGAUCAGCCACACUGGGACUGAGACACGGCCCAGACUCCUACGGGAGGCAGCAGUGGGGAAUUUUGGACAAUGGGCGAAAGCCUAAUCCAGCAAUGCCGCGUGCAGGAUGAAGGCCUUCGGGUUGUAAACUGCUUUUGUACGGAACGAAAAGCCCCGGGUUAAUACCCUGGGGUCAUGACGGUACCGUAAGAAUAAGCACCGGCUAACUACGUGCCAGCCGCCGCGGUAA
rnacentral:rRNA from 1 species